UUGGCUAUAUCAGACAUUAUUUAUCCAUAUGUUUUUAUAGCAAUAUAUUUAUACAAUUAUACAGAUUUACCUUUUUAGUUUCAGAUAUCCUGUUCUUCACAAGUCAAUAUUUACCCACUAUAUUUUGUGAAGUUAUCUUUAAAAUGUAAUGGAUUCUGAUGUUUAUUCUUGAAAUAAGGAAAUAACCUGCCUUUAUUUGGGUUUGAACUAAAAUAAGGUGCGUUUGAUCUGUGAAGGUGAGUUUGAUCUGUGAAGGUGAGUCAUGUCUAUAGAGGUGCGUUUGAUCUGUGAAGGUGAGUCAUGUCUAUAGAGGUGCGUUUGAUCUGUGAAGGUGAGUCAUGUCUAUAGAGGUGCGUUUGAUCUGUGAAGGUGAGUCAUGUCUAUAGAGGUGAGUUUGUUCUGUGAAGGUGAGUCAUGUCUAUAGAGGUGCGUUUGAUCUGUGAAGGUGAGUUAUGUCUAUAGAGGUGCGUUUGAUCUGUGAAGGUGAGUCAUGUCUAUAGAGGUGCGUUUGAUCUGUGAAGGUGAGUCAUGUCUAUAGAGGUGCGUUUGAUCUGUGAAGGUGAGUCAUGUCUAUAGAGGUGCGUUUGAUCUGUGAAGCUGAGUCAUGUC